GGACGCUCCGAGGGUUUCGGCCUUCGGGGAGUGGCGCACGGGUGAGUAGCGCGUGGGAACCUGUCCUUUUGUGGGGGAUAACCGAGGGAAACUUCGGCUAAUACCGCAUGCGCCCCCGGUCUUUGGAUCGGGGGGAAAGAUUUAUCGCAGAGGGAGGGGCCCGCGUCGGAUUAGGUAGUUGGUGGGGUAACGGCCUACCAAGCCGAUGAUCCGUAGCUGGUCUGAGAGGAUGAUCAGCCACACUGGGACUGAGACACGGCCCAGACUCCUACGGGAGGCAGCAGUGGGGAAUAUUGGACAAUGGGCGCAAGCCUGAUCCAGCAAUGCCGCGUGAGUGAUGAAGGCCUUCGGGUUGUAAAGCUCUUUGGGCGGGGACGAUGAUGACGGUACCCGCAGAACAAGCCCCGGCCAACUUCGUG
rnacentral:rRNA from 1 species